GACACAAAACUAUGCCAGAAAUAGGAAUUCACACACAAGCAGAAAAACAAGGGACCCAGAUCUUAAAUAAGUUAUGAGGAUAACUACUGGAAACACUGAACACCAGAAGCUUAAAGAUUUAGAUCCCCACAACAGCUUCCUCUGAGACCAUCUCUCAUCCUCCAAGUGCCUCUUCCUCCCACUUGCACUGAUCUGUACAGAACAACCAUCUAAACUGAUGAUGCAGAGAAUAAAGAACAUUGGAAGAGUGGCAGAACAUCCCUGAGGACAUUAUCCAGAGUCCCAUUGGAUCUUUCUGUCAACACUGCCAGGAUUGUGCUAAUGCUCAGGUUGAUCAGGCAGAUACUAAACUUGUAAUGUUUUCAUUCUGAUAGUGUGUCAUAUUUCAUAUGGAAAAUUGAUUCUUUGAUCUGUAACUGUUCAAAUUUUCUUUAAUUUUGUUUGGUAUCAAUUUUUGAUUAAAUCAAUUAGAAUUGAGCGAUGGAAUUUCUUUUUGCAUUGUUAAAUGUUCACAACAUUUAAUUUAUAAAAAAUAAAAAGUUAUUUUGGAUACAGUGGAAAUUGCUUUCAGUCUAAGUGUUAUGUUAAUGAAGCUAAUGGUUUUGCUAUGCAUAAUUGUUAUAUCAUUAUUUCAUUGAUAAAGGUUUUCUGCUCCCUCUCUUCAAUUACCUGCUGUUUUGGUACAAUGCUAUGUUGACAAUAUUGGGGCAUUAUAACGGAGUUUUUGGGGUGCAAGUUCUGGAUAUACUGGCUCCUUGUUUUCAUUUCCCCAGAAUAUUAACAGAAAUGUAAACAUCAAUUUGAUUUAGUCAAUUACCCAUUGGUUUAUGUACUAAUGAUAUCAGGGUAUUAAAACAAUACCCAAUGCUAGGUUGCAUUAUGGUAUAUUUGGAAAUUCAUGUAGCCCAAUUCACAGUUAAGAAAGUUAAUGUAAUGUAAUAAGGUGUUUAUUAAGGAAAUUAGUAUCCCAAGCAUACAUAUUAUUCCUGAAUGCCUAAUUGUUUGAGUAUACCUGGAAUAAAUAAGUCGUCUAAUAAUAUUGUAAUGCCCUCGCCUGGUGGUGAGGAG